rnacentral:rRNA from 1 species
GUAGGUGGCAAGCGUUGUCCGGAAUUAUUGGGCGUAAAGCGCGCGCAGGCGGUUCUUUAAGUCUGAUGUGAAAGCCCACGGCUCAACCGUGGAGGGUCAUUGGAAACUGGAGAACUUGAGUACAGAAGAGGAAAGCGGAAUUCCACGUGUAGCGGUGAAAUGCGUAGAGAUGUGGAGGAACACCAGUGGCGAGGGCGGCUUUCUGGUCUGUAACUGACGCUGAGGCGCGAAAGCGUGGGGAGCAAACAGGGAUUAGAUACCCUGGUAGUCCACGCCGUAAACGAUGAGUGCUAAGUGUUAGGGGGGUUUCCGCCCCCUUAGUGCUGCAGCUAACGCAUUAAGCACUCCGCCUGGGGAGUACGGCCGCAAGGCUG